GGGGGAUAUUGCACAAUGGGGGAAACCCUGAUGCAGCGACGCCGCGUGAGGGAAGACGGUCCUCUGGAUUGUAAACCUCUGUCUUCGGGGACGAAACGAGACGGUACCCGAGGAGGAAGCCACGGCUAACUACGUGCCAGCAGCCGCGGUAAUACGUAGGUGGCAAGCGUUGUCCGGAAUUACUGGGUGUAAAGGGAGCGUAGGCGGGCAGGCAAGUCAGGCGUGAAAUAUAUCGGCUCAACCGGUAACGGCGCUUGAAACUGCAGGUCUUGAGUGAAGUAGAGGUUGGCGGAAUUCCUAGUGUAGCGGUGAAAUGCGUAGAUAUUAGGAGGAACACCAGUGGCGAAGGCGGCCAACUGGGCUUUUACUGACGCUGAGGCUCGAAAGUGUGGGGAGCAAACAGGAUUAGAUACCCUGGUAGUCCACACCGUAAACGAUGAUUACUAGGUGUGGGGGGACUGACCCCUUCCGUGCCGGAGUUAACACAAUAAGUAAUCCACCUGGGGAGUACGACCGCAAGGUUGAAACUCAAAGGAAUUGACGGGGGCCCGCACAAGCAGUGGAGUAUGUGGUUUAAUUCGACGCAACGCGAAGAACCUUACCAAGUCUUGACAUCCUGCGACGCACAUAGAAAUAUGUGUUUCCUUCGGGACGCAGAGACAGGUGGUGCAUGGUUGUCGUCAGCUCGUGUCGUGAGAUGUUGGGUUAAGUCCCGCAACGAGCGCAACCCUUAUGGUCAGUUACUACGCAAGAGGACUCUGGCCAGACUGCCGUUGACAAAACGGAGGAAGGUGGGGAUGACGUCAAAUCAUCAUGCCCUUUAUGACUUGGGCUACACACGUACUACAAUGGCGUUAAACAAAGAGAAGCAAGACCGCGAGGUGGAGCAAAACUCAAAAACAACGUCUCAGUUCAGAUUGCAGGCUGCAACUCGCCUGCAUGAAGUCGGAAUUGCUAGUAAUCGCGGAUCAGCAUGCCGCGGUGAAUACGUUCCCG
rnacentral:rRNA from 1 species